GAUGAACGCUAGCUACAGGCUUAACACAUGCAAGUCGAGGGGCAGCAUGAACUUAGCUUGCUAAGUUUGAUGGCGACCGGCGCACGGGUGCGUAACGCGUAUCCAACCUUCCCGUUACUCAGGUAUAGCCUUGCGAAAGUAAGAUUAGUCCCUGAUGACAUAUGUUUGCUGCAUGGUGAACAUAUUAGAGAUUUAUCGGUAACGGAUGGGGAUGCGUUCCAUUAGGUAGUUGGUGAGGUAACGGCUCACCAAGCCUGCGAUGGAUAGGGGUUCUGAGAGGAAGGUCCCCCACACUGGAACUGAGACACGGUCCAGACUCCUACGGGAGGCAGCAGUGAGGGAUAUUGGUCAAUGGUCGGAAGACUGAACCAGCCAAGUAGCGUGAGGGAUGACUGCCCUAUGGGUUGUAAACCUCUUAUAUAUGGGAAUAAAAAAGAUUACGUGUAGUCUAUUGUAUGUACCUUAUGAAUAAGCAUCGGCUAAUUCCGUGCCAGCAGCAGCCGCAGUAA
rnacentral:rRNA from 1 species